rnacentral:sRNA from 1 species
AGUAAAUAUUAACUAGUCCGCACGCCUAUCGACUAACCAUUUGCUGGGUGCUUUUCUUAAAAGUAAAGUUGGCAAAAGGGGAUAUGCGGAGGCUUAAC